rnacentral:rRNA from 1 species
UCCUUUACUGACGCUAAAGCUCGAAAGUGCGGGUAUCGAACAGGAUUAGAUACCCUGGUAGUCCGCACGGUAAACGAUGGAUGCCCGCUGUUGGCGACACACUGUCAGCGGCCAAGCGAAAGCGUUAAGCAUCCCACCUGGGGAGUACGCCGGCAACGGUGAAACUCAAAGGAAUUGACGGGGGCCCGCACAAGCGGAGGAACAUGUGGUUUAAUUCGAUGAUACGCGAGGAACCUUACCCGGGCUUGAACUGCCAGCGAACGAUACAGAGAUGUUGAGGCCCUUCGGGGCGCUGGUGGAGGUGCUGCGUGGUUGUCGUCAGCUCGUGCCGUGAGGUGUCGGCUUAAGUGCCAUAACGAGCGCAACCCCUUUCUUCAGUUGCCAUCAGGUUGAGCUGGGCACUCUGGAGACGCUGCCGCCGUAAGGUGUGAGGAAGGUGGGGAUGACGUCAAAUCAGCACGGCCUUGACGUCCGGGGCUACACACGUGUUACAAUGGGUGGUACAGAGCGUCGGCGGCCUGCAAAGUCCGUCCAAUCGCAAAAUCCAUCCUCAGUUCGGACUGGGGUCUGCAACCCGACCCCACGAAGCUGGAUCGCUAGU